GCGUCUGUGGUGUAACGGUUAUCAUUAUUGCCUGUAAGUUCCAACUUAUAACAAAUACACCUCAUACGACCCUGAUUCUAACGAUUCCCUGCUUAGUCCAAGCAAUAGACCCGGGUUCGACUCCCGGCGGACGCA